AGCCGAGAUCGUAGGCUGUUUAAAUGAAUCAAUUGAUUAUAGAUAGAGUUAUUAUCACAUAUAAGGAAUACUACAAAUUUGUUUUGUAUUCGACUGCUGAUGAAAAUCAUUGAUGACCGUUAUCAUGAUCUCAUUGCCACAAUUUUUUAAAUAACUUAUAAAAGGAACGAAGAGUGGAACGAGUUCUUAUUUUGGAAGAACUGGAUCUGGAACAAGUUCCUUCUUAAUAUAAAGAAUUAGGAUCUGGAACGAGUUCAUAUUUUAGAAAAUGAACGGGGAACGGAACGAAUUCCAUUUAAAAAGGAACUUUCCCAACACUGAUACAUACAUACAUACAGAUAAAAAUAACAUUAUUCAUACUUCAAAAUAUUCACCAUCUACCAUGGAAAUUUCGUCAAUAAUCAAUGUUUUACAUUUGCGCCAAGUUUGAACAUAUGGUGACUUAGAAGCCAUUUGAAUUCCUUUUUCA